rnacentral:rRNA from 1 species
AUUGAACGCUGGCGGCAGGCCUAACACAUGCAAGUCGAGCGGAGCGGCGGACGGGUGAGUAAUGCCUAGGGAUCUACCUGGUAGUGGGGGAUACCGUCCGGGAGGGGGCGCUUAUAGCGCAUACUAUCAGAUGAGUCUAGGUCGUAUUAGCUAGUUGGAGGGGUAAAGGCUUACCAAGGCGACGAUCCUUACCUGGUCUGAGAGGAUGAUCCGUCACACUGGAACGGAGACACGGUCCAGACUCCUACGGGAGGCAGCAGUGGGGAAUAUUGGACAAUGGGCGAAAGCCUGAUCCAGCCAUGCCGCGGGUGUGAAGAAGGUCUUCGGAUUGUAAAGCACUUUAAGUUGGGAGGCGUUACCUACAGAAUAAGCACCGGCUAACUUCGUGCCAGCAGCCGCGGUAAUUC